CCUCUUGAACGAUUCUUUCUCCAAUUUUGUUGUUAUUGGCUGCUAGAACUCUUCUGGACAUCAGGUCAAAUGGUCCACCUGAGAACAAAAUAUGUGCAGGUUUGGCAUGCUGUCCCGGGAGAGAACCUUGAACUCAGAGAUAGAUGAUCCCAAGGCUCCCGCCUGGUCAAUGAGCGUUAGGAGGGAUACGAGAUCAGACUGUGGGAGGAAACCGGAGUACCUGGGAAAACCCACACAAACACGGGGAGAACAUGUAAACUACGCACAGAAAGUGCCGACUGGCUCAGCUAAGUACUUGAUCCAGCUAUCUUCUUGCUGUGAGGCAGCAGUGCUAGCCACUAAGCCACAGUGUCGCCCGAUCCUAGAAUUGAGUAGGAGGGACGGAUUGGGGGGGUUCUUCCAAAACAAAGAUAGGGAAUAAAGUUAGGCUGGACAUUUAUGUUAAAUUUGGAGUAAUCUGAUUGGCUAGCAAAUUAUUAGCGAUAGGGACCAGCUGCAGUCAAUCAUAUCGCAUGCUCCUCUUAAAAUUAGUUUGUGAAUCUUCACAUAAAACAACUGACAAUUUUGAAAAUACUAUUUAUAUAUUUCUAAAGUAAUUUAUUGAUAUACAUAACCAGGGAGCCAAUGAGAAUCAACAGACUAACACGUAUGCUCUAAAAUGAACUCAGUCGCACGAAUUUAACAUGCUCUUCAA